rnacentral:lncRNA from 1 species
GAAGUCGACCCCGACGACGACGGCUCCUCCUCAACAUCGUAGGCUCCUGCUCCAUGUCCAAAUGCCCAAGUACCCAAGUGCUCAUUUGCCUCGUGCCCAAGUGCUCUACAAGUAUGCAGGUCCUUCUCCUCGUGCCCAAGUCUGAAAUUUUGAUCUUUUUGGAACCAUUUGUCUACGAAGCAAAAUAAUGUGCAGUAAGAUUCUUCCAUUAUGUUAACA